AAGACAGGAGGGCACUCCUCCAAUGGGAGUCUGGAGCCGUCGGUAGCGGUGGCGGCCUGCGACCCCGCUAGCGCUCCAGCAAGCGGGAGGGACGCGUCCAGUGCGUUCGCGAGAUCCAGCUGCCGGUCCCUGGAAUCUACUCGCGCGAGGCAGCGGCUGCACCGACGGCCCGAGGUUCCCGGUCAGCGGGUUGCGGAGUAUCGUGCGGGUAGCAAGGGGAGGGCGAGUGCUCCUGCGGCCCCCAGACGGCAACCAGGGGCUUCCCUGGUGGCGCAGUGGUUGAGAGUCCGCCUGCCGAUGCAGGGGACACGGGUUCGUGCCUUGGUCCGGGAAGAUCCCACAUGCCGUGGAGCGGCUGGGCCCGUGAGCCAUGGCCGCUGAGCCUGCGCGUCUGGAGCCUGUGCUCCACAACAGCACAACGGGAGAGGCCACAACAGUGAGAGGCCCGCGUACCGCAAAAAAAAAAAAAAAAAAAAAAAGGAAAGGAGAAAGGAUAAAGUACUCAGUAUAUGGCCUUAGGAACACUGGUUAUCCACUUGGUUUUUCCUCUUGGCCCACAAAGCCUAAAAUAGUAUCUGACACUGUUCUCCCCCACCACAGAGAAAUGCACUUCAGAAACAUGUUUCCAAAAAAUGUUGCUAAGGGUUUUAUUUCUAACAAGAGGAAAAUAAUAAAAUAAAAUUAAAAUAGGCUU